CUUUGUAAAAUUGACAGAGAGGGGAAACCCCGUAAAGUGGUUGGUUGCAGUUGUGUAGUAGUUAAGGUAAGUCACCGUUUAUUUUAGGGAUGAAGGUUAUGCUGGGUAAUCAUAUAAAACCUUGUAUUGAAAUAAGUUGAGGAUCUUUUAAGGAAAAAACUGAUUCAACAGGUUUAAAGCAUUUUCUGCAUUUCAGGAAAAAAAUAAAAGCUGUAAUUUACAAGCCAGCCAAUGAAUCUGCUUACCUGAUUGUGUUUGUGCAGACAUACUUUAAAAACUGGCAAUAGUAAAGCCAUGUUACGAGCCUUAAGGACAUUGAAGUCGUUAAGGUCCCUGAGAAUGGCUAUAACAAAUCUUAGUGAUGGGAAACAUUUUUAUAAGACAUAGCUAAUUGUUGAAGCUCCACUAUAAUUGAUACUAAUAGCUUGGUGAAAUUCCUAAAUAUGACUUUCUUUACUUGCCUUCUAGAAUCCUCUACCCUUCUGUUUUUUUCCUGCUUCAUUUGCUUCUCCUUCUCAGUCACAUUACCAAUUUCUCCCCUUGUCUCUGUCCUAAAUAUUGCAAACUCAGGUUUCCUUCCUGGAUCUCUUCUUUUUUCUAUCCACACUCACUCUCUUGGUGAUUUUUUCCUUAUGUAUGUGGAGGGCUUCCCAAUUUACAUCUCCAUUCCAGACCUUUCCCCUGAUCUCCAGGUGCACGGACUUAACUGCUCACUUGACAUUUCUACUUGGAUGUGUAACAGGC
rnacentral:lncRNA from 1 species